rnacentral:rRNA from 1 species
UCAGGACGAACGCUGGCGGCGUGCCUAAUACAUGCAAGUCGAACGCUUCUUUUCCCACCGGAGCUUGCUCCACCGGGAAAAGAGGAGUGGCGAACGGGUGAGUAACACGUGGGUAACCUGCCCAUCAGAAGGGGAUAACACUUGGAAACAGGUGCUAAUACCGUAUAACAAUCGAAACCGCAUGGUUUCGUUUUGAAAGGCGCUUUACGGUGCCGCUGAUGGAUGGACCCGCGGUGCAUUAGCUAGUUGGUGAGGUAACGGCUCACCAAGGCCACGAUGCAUAGCCGACCUGAGAGGGUGAUCGGCCACAUUGGGACUGAGACACGGCCCAAACUCCUACGGGAGGCAGCAGUAGGGAAUCUUCGGCAAUGGACGAAAGUCUGACCGAGCAACGCCGCGUGAGUGAAGAAGGUUUUCGGAUCGUAAAACUCUGUUGUUAGAGAAGAACAAGGGUGAGAGUAACUGUUCACCCCUUGACGGUAUCUAACCAGAAAGCCACGGCUAACUACGUGCCAGCAGCCGCGGUAAUACGUAGGUGGCAAGCGUUGUCCGGAUUUAUUGGGCGUAAAGCGAGCGCAGGCGGUUUCUUAAGUCUGAUGUGAAAGCCCCCGGCUCAACCGGGGAGGGUCAUUGGAAACUGGGAGACUGA